UUAACUAGGAUUAGAUACCCUAUUAUUAAUUAAGUAAAUUAUAAAGUUAAGUGAUUAAUAGUUAAGUUCUUUAAAGCUAAAUGAUUUGGCGGUAUUUUUACUUUUCAGAGGAACCUGUUCUAUAAACGAUAAUCCACGAUUAAAAUUACUUUAGUUAGAAACUUUUAUAUCGUCGUUGUUAAAUAUUUUUUUAGAAAUUAAUAUUUAGAUAUUUUUUAAAAAUUUAAAUCAGAUCAAGGUGAAGUUUAUAUUAAAGUAGAAAUGGGUUACAUUAAAUUAUAUUUAUGGAUUUAUAUAUUUUAAAAGUUUUAUGAAAUUGGAUUUGAUUGUAAUUAAAUAUUUUUAUUUUUAAUGAUUUAGUACUAAAAUAUGCACAUAUGCCCUCGCUGCAAUU
rnacentral:rRNA from 1 species